rnacentral:misc_RNA from 1 species
UGCUGGAGUUCUACAGAAAGGAAUUGAUGUGAGGAUGGGUGUUCCUUUAUUCUGGAAUUCUAUUUAGACCCUCUUUUUAUGUUUUAGUAUAUAUGUCGGUUAGUCCUGUUGUGAUUUUGAUUACUUUUAACUUUUGGUAGUUCUUGAGCCAUAUUGGUAAUAGUUGCAUUCCUUGCCUAAUCAAUUUUUGUUGCUUGAUUUCCUUGUCUGGUUUAGAGAAAUUAAUAUGUUGACCUUAAUGCAUGAUCUGUAUACAAAGCCCAUUUGAAUAGAUAUGGCUUGAACAAUAUGGAAAAACAAAAUAAAAAAUAGUCUAUUG